GCGAGGUAGCACCUUGAGCCUUUCUGGAAACCGGCCCAUUUAAAACAGGUUCCAGGAUCACUUUAAGAGGCAUGGUCUGAGUGUUCCAAAGGUUGGCGUUCUUCCUCUUCUGGCAAAGUCCACAUUCAACUGCCAAAGAUUUCAGUACUUAUCUGAGACUUGGGAAAAGGUCAAGAGAGCAACUUUUUGUCCCCAACCCACAAAGAAAACAAUGUCUACAAUUACUCCUCACAGACUCUACUGCCAAAUAACAAACAGUCAUUUAACCCUACAAUUUUUGGAGUAAAUGCACUGACCUUCAUUCACGGUACCACAGGAAUUCCAAUGGGAAAAUGCUGUAUGGCCCUCGACAGGUGGCAGUCAUUACCCUGGCAAUUAACCACAACCCAGGCUCAAUCCACAGCCUUACAGUUUCAGAAAUUUGAUUUUAUCAGCAUCAAUAAGGUAGCUCCAUCUUUUAGAAGAAAAAAAAAUUAAUCAAGGCUCUAAGGAGUUAAUAUCCAAAAUUUAUA